AGUGAACGCUGGCGGUAGGCCUAACACAUGCAAGUCGAACGGCAGCACAGUAAGAGCUCGCUCUUACGGGUGGCGAGUGGCGGACGGGUGAGGAAUACAUCGGAAUCUACUUUUUCGUGGGGGAUAACGUAGGGAAACUUACGCUAAUACCGCAUACGACCUACGGGUGAAAGCAGGGGAUCUUCGGACCUUGCGCGAUUGAAUGAGCCGAUGUCGGAUUAGCUAGUUGGCGGGGUAAAGGCCCACCAAGGCGACGAUCCGUAGCUGGUCUGAGAGGAUGAUCCGCCACACUGGAACUGAGACACGGUCCAGACUCCUACGGGAGGCAGCAGUGGGGAAUAUUGGACAAUGGGCGCAAGCCUGAUCCAGCCAUACCGCGUGGGUGAAGAAGGCCUUCGGGUUGUAAAGCCCUUUUGUUGGGAAAGAAAAGCAGCAGGUUAAUACCCCGCUGUUCUGACGGUACCCAAAGAAUAAGCACCGGCUAACUUCGUG
rnacentral:rRNA from 1 species